rnacentral:lncRNA from 1 species
GGAGGCAGCUGAGACCCAGAAAAGGAGUUGCAGUGUCCACGUACUGGAAAUAGAAGUAAAGCCAGUGACUGCCCUGCGCCCAGUCCGUUAGUACGGGUCUUGAUGGGUGGGCUGGGGACAAAUGUCCUCUUGGACUGUGCUUCCAGGUGGACGGAAGAGUGCAUGUGGCCACAGGGUGUGCUGGUGAAGCACAGCAAGAAUGUCUACAAAGCGCUGGGCCACUACAACGUGGCCAUCCCCUCUGACGUCUCCCACUUCCGCUUCCACGUGAGUGUUCUGUUCUGGGCAGGAGGGCGGGGCCUGAUCGCCAAGGCAGGAAGUGGGUGGCCUUAGCCGCGAGGACAAUUAUAGCUGUUUUCACUACACUGCCAGAACUCAGGAAGACGGUGCACACGUGCAGCCCAAGGAUGUCCGCACGGAUGAGCAUAGCUGCAGCUCCCUCUGGUCGCAGAUCUUCCAGAGUACGGGAUAGAGGGAGAGGUGAUCUUACAAUAAGAAAAUGGGUUCUGAAGGUUCUGAUGGCUCACACCAUUAAACCUAGCACUCGGAGACACAGACAGACACACAGACACACAGAUCUUAGCAGUAGAAGUAGGCAUGAUUCAGUGCUGGGUGCCAUGCAUUUUUAACUUAUUCAAAGGUGCCAUAUUGAGAAACUUGGGAGCUCCUGCAGAUGGCCCAAGUCAGCACAGGGGAAGGGGUUGCUCUGAAUCACAAGGCUGCUGGCCUCCAGUCCCCUUUUGGAACAGAGACCUCAUGGCACUACUCUGAGGAGCUCAAAUUCUCUUACUUCCUAGUAGCCUCCACUGAAGCUGUGGUCUGUGUGGAGCGGGGUACUUAGGGCCACAGUCUGGGAGCUGUUACCAGGGCAGUUAUCUUCAUUUCUCAGCAAGUGACGAGAUUUGCUCCCAUACUCACAGCACUCACAGCCUUUUAGCACAGGCCUGAGGCCAGCAUCCUGGUCGUUCGCUCCACUCCUGUCGCCUCUUCCCCACCCUGUAAACAGUUCUUAAGCUGAAGUUGCUUUUCUUGUGAACUGAUCCCUAGACAUGGAGUGCUCCUGAACUUAGCAGAAACAGUGUUUUCUUUUUCCCUUUUUUUGUUUUUCAAGACGGAGUUUCUCAGUAUAGCUCUGGCUAUCCUAGAACUCACUCUGUAUACCAGGCUGGCCUUGAACUCACAGGGAUCCACCUGCCUGUUUCCCAAGUGCUGGGAUUAAAGGUGUUCAUUGCCACUGCCAGCGGGAGAAAAAAGUUCUGCAUCCUGUUUUCCUUAGAAACACCUUACAAGACUGAAGUGUUGCCCUGUCCCCUAGGCUUCCAGUGGAGGAAGGGAUACCUCAGAGGAGGGAGGAGGCACUGGGUACCCAGGCUAUAGAAUAUAAUCUCUCCAUGCUUUUGAUGCCUGGCAACUAGAAGUAAAUAAAUGGCUUUCCAUGUUGCUGAUGGAAGAUUUGCUGAGCUAAAGUCUGCUGCACAGAGAACACCUAGGUUCAAUCCCUAGCAUCAAAAA